UUAAACUUCUGUCCAGUGCCAAAUAACAUCUUACGACUUCAUAAAGUUUAUAAGCAAAACAUCAUCCAAACAAUCUCUAGGGGUUUAAAGAGCUGGGAGUUCUUCUCACAUACUCUCCAUUAGCACGAAUGCAUUUUACAUUCGCGCAUUGCAGCUGGAAAGCCCGCGUUCCAACAGUAGUAUCUUCAGAGCUCAGCAUCCUCAUUAGCGAUAUUGCAGAAGCCCCUCUUGCUCAUUAGUUGGAGGCAGUGCUGUUUAGCUGUGACCACGUAGUGAUGGUGAAUGCAUUAUCCAACUUGCCUUGAUAACACUUCAGAAAGGGAGUGCCCACAUAAAAAAGUAAGCGAUUUAUAACGGGAACAUAAAGCUUCCUUCUCCUGUACUCUGUUUUUCCCUAUCCUAUUCUAUAGACUAUUUCACUUCUCUGGCAUUUAAGCCAUUCUUUGUUUCCUGGAUAAAUCUAAUGCUUGCCUCUUUCCCGUCUCCCAAUUUUACCUUUUAAACUUCAGAUUGGGGAUUUUCGAUGAGGGAAAAAUUUGCUGAUGAGGUUUAGGGAUUUUCCCCCAAAGUGGGAUAUGCUGAGUGAUCUUCUCUUGAGCUACAGAAAAAUUCGACACCUUUUUUUUCCUGUAACUUUUUUCCAAGUAUAUUUCAGAAGCUCUUGUCCUUUCCCAGGCGAUUCAACAAACUUGUUAGUUUCCUUUAUGGUAGGAGCUAAACAUCAGCGUUACUGAAGAAUCCUCAGUUUGUUUGUUUUUUUAGCGUUAGCAGAAUAUCAUUCUCCUCUGAAUUUUCACUAGCAUGAGUAGUAGCUCGACAUCCAACAAAAUCUUCCGAUUCCUGAAUGAUGCCAAAUCCCUCUUUGGUUGCAUACAUAUCAGGGAGUGGGGGAACCAGUCCAAUUAUGAGUAAAUUUUAAAUGAAGUAGAUCUGGGUUAAUCUAUUCUGUCUUUUGUGUUGAUUCCUUUUAACAAGUGAAUUUGCAUGCUACUAUGUUGACUCACUCCUGUUUGUUUGUUGUGAUAGACUUUAAACAACGUACUACCAUAUCUCGGACGUAGGUUUAUCCUCCCUGACUUCUUGUUUCCUGUGUUGUCUUCAGAGCUGUGUAACCCUGGAAUAAAUGAAUAUGCGUUGCACAGGUUUCCCAGGAGGCUGUUGAGCUAAAGGGGUCUUGUGUGAAGAGAGUUAAGAAAUUAUUUAACUCAUGAAAAACUAUUGAAUACUGACAAGAAGGGAGAAAAGCUGAUUGAAUAAAAAUGUACAUCCCUCUCCUUGGGCAUGGGUGUGAAACUCGGCUAGAUUCCCCACACCUCAGAAAAAAUCCCAAGCAUUCUUUGCAGGCAAGCUUAGAUUCCAAUAGCUUGGUUAUACAUUUUAAUGGUCUGGCAUUGUCAGGAACUGGUACAACAAAGCUCUUAAUAGUCCCACAUGUAUGAUUACAAAAGUCUGCGUCUGUUGCACUUGCAUCAGCCAAGCAAAAAAUGCCAUGAAAGUUCUCGGUGCUCUCAGCAGUUUGGACAAACCAAGGUGAUUGCCAUGGAACUUGAAAGCUGUUGUAUUUUAAUCAAGCACCGUAUAGGUUUUCCCCAGUCCCAGGUGGUAUUGAAAGUUGUGAGUGUUAGGGCUUGCUUUCUUCUGCUGGGACUAUUAGAGCAUGUACGUUAGAGAGAGUGCCUUGUUUAAUGUUCCUUUAAACAAGUGCACGCCUGUGAAAAUGGACGUGCAGUCUCAUCAGCCAAUUGGCAUGUUUCUGAGUCUUCCCAAAAUGCUCAAGAAGCAGAUGCCCAGAAGCUUUAGUGCGUGCAUGAAAUAAUCAAAAAUAUUGAACAAGUCACCCUUUUUGUUGUGUGUAAUAAAUCACUGUGUACACGCUGCACACCCACUACCUUCCCGAAGUGUUUUUUCAAGACCUUCUAAAAUAUUACUUAAUAAGCAUUCGUAUGGAAUACAUUUUUAUCCAACCAACGGUAACCUGCAGGCAUGUACCAGCCACCUGACAUUAACUGAAAACCAGUCAUCUUUUACAAUCUAGCAUCAUGUUUUAAACUCUUGACUUCCGAUCUCUUUUUUUUCAUGAUUGUAGCGUUAAUUCUGUGAACAGUAUAAAGGCAUUUGUUGGUGCUGCUGAGGUUAGAUGUCAGUCCUUUUAUUAAAUACGGGCUUCCAAGGGUUUAUAACUUCCCCGUUGUUUUAAUUCACAUUUUGCUGAAGCUUGACACCCAGCUUCUCAGCACAAAGGCACCUUUUCCCCUUUCUCUAACACCUUUAAAACACUUUGGCCUGUUUGGCUGUUUCUUUCAGCACCAAUUAGAAGUACUAAGUUUUAACAUGGGGUUUUAUGUAGCAGUUCAGCAUAGAAACUGAGAUUUGAUCAAUUAAGAUUUGCUAGUGAUUUCUUCGGAUAAUCCUUUUCAUCCUCCUAAAAGUAUGCAUGUAGAUAAGAUAAUGGGCCCUAAUUCAGCAAAGCAUGUCAACGUGGGCUUAAAUCCAAAGAGUUCAAUGGGACUUCAGUACAUGCUUAAAGUUAAGGAGAUGCUUAAGUGCUUUGCUGAAUUGGGACCAUAAUGAAAUAUUAGUACUCCUACAACACCAUUCUGUUGACCUAGCUGUUGUGCUUUGAGUUACAAAUAAAGGUAUGGUGGCAGGGGAACCAAAAAAACAAACAAAUCCCAAAAUGCUCCAUCUUAUAAGAAACCAAAUUUCCCAAA